GACGAACGCUGGCGGCGUGCUUAACACAUGCAAGUCGAGCGGAAAGGCCUCUUCGGGGGUACUCGAGCGGCGAACGGGUGAGUAACACGUGAGUAAUCUGCCUCUGGCUUCGGGAUAGCCACCGGAAACGGUGAUUAAUACCGGAUACGACACAUCACUGCAUGGUGCGUGUGUGGAAAGUUUUUUCGGCCAGGGAUGUGCUCGCGGCCUAUCAGCUUGUUGGUGGGGUAAUGGCCUACCAAGGCUUCGACGGGUAGCCGGCCUGAGAGGGUGACCGGCCACACUGGGACUGAGACACGGCCCAGACUCCUACGGGAGGCAGCAGUGGGGAAUAUUGGACAAUGGGCAGAAGCCUGAUCCAGCAACGCCGCGUGAGGGAUGACGGCCUUCGGGUUGUAAACCUCUUUCAGCACCGACGAAGCGCAAGUGACGGUAGGUGCAGAAGAAGGACCGGCCAACUACGUGCCAGCAGCCGCGGUAAUAC
rnacentral:rRNA from 1 species